rnacentral:rRNA from 1 species
GAUGCAGAAGAGUUAAUUGCUCGUAGUUGAACUUCUGGCCGCGUACAGGUUUGGCUUCAGUCGACUUGUUAUGCAGUCAUCCGUCUGCAAACUUAGUCGGCCUUUACUGGUUCGACUAGGAAAGCAGACAAUUUACCUUGAAAAAAUUAGAGUGUUUCAGGCAGGUAACCCCCGGAAUUUUUUUAGCAUGCAAUAAUGCUUGCCGAGUCAACUCCUUUGGUGGGAUUAGGAACUUAGGGAUGAUUAAAAAGAACAGGUGGGGGGCUAAAUUUUUUUUUUUUCGGGGGGAAAAUUUCGGGUUUUUUUUAAAAAAAAAAUUUUCAAAACCUUUU